ACAUAAUAUCACCAUAGGAUGUUAGACAACAUACAAAUUAUUUCUGGACGUGAAUUUGUCAGAUGGAAAAUCCUGAAUAUUCAAGGACAUAAUCUACUAUAAAUCAUAACGAAAAGCUUUGUAAUUCCUACCUCAACUCUGACUUUAGUAGGUAGAAAUAUCGAAGGUCAUCUAUUUAAAAUGAAACACUUAUCAAUUUUUGGAGCAUCUUUUGUGUUACUUCUGAUCUUUUCUUGUGUUCUGGAAGAACAUGCAGUGGAAGCACAACCACCGAUCAGUGUAAAGAUACCCAGUUGUCAAAAACACUGCCGACGAUCUACGUCAAAAAAUGGAUGUAACAAUUGUUGUAGAGCGCACAAUAGAAGAUACGACACCGGACAGUGCUAUUCUAACUCUUGUCAUUGUUGGCAUUGGGUAUAAUGAUUAAAUCUAAAUUUCACUAUAAAUGAAAUACGUGACAUCAUUAAAAACA